rnacentral:rRNA from 1 species
AAUUUUUUUUUAGAAAAAAGUUGAUUAUUAAAAAUAAUUAUAAAAUUUAAUAGUUUUAGUAUUUUAUAAAGAAAAAAUAAUUUUAAUAAUAGUUUAUUAGUAUUGUGAAAUAAAAUUGAAAUAUAAUGAAAAAUUUUUAUGUUAAAAGAAAAUUUUAUUUAUUGUAUCUUGUGUAUCAGAGUAUAUUAAAUAAAAAAUAUUUAUAUAUUUUUCUCGAUUUUAAAAGAUUUAAUAAAUUAUAAAUUUUAAUGUAAUAAAAUUAUAUUUAAUAAUUUAUUAGAAAUGAAAUGUUAUUCGUUUUUAAAGGUAUCUAGUUUUUUAAGAAAUAAAUUUAAUUUAAUAUUCAAAAUUUACUUAUUUAUUUAUUUUAAUUAAGUAAUUUUGUAGAUUAAUAUUUUAUGGGAUAAGCUAUAAAAUAAAUUUUUAUAAAUAAUAAAUAAUAUUUAAAAUUAAAUAUGUUUAAAAGUAUCAAUUUUUAUUAAGUUUGUUAUAAAUUAAUUUUUAUUAAUAAAUUAUUUAUUAUAUUUUAAUUUUUUAUUAAAAUAUUUAUUUUAAUAUUAAAAAUAAAGUAAUAAUGAUAUAAUUAGUAUAUUACUAUUGUAUAAAUGUAUUUUUAAAUGAAAAGUUUAUGUAAAGAAUUCGGCAAAAAUAAUGUUCGCCUGUUUAACAAAAACAUGUCUUUUAGAAAUUAAUUUAAAGUCUGACCUGCCCACUGAAAUUUUUUAAAUGGCCGCAGUAUAUUAACUGUGCAAAGGUAGCAUAAUCAUUAGUCUUUUAAUUGAAGGCUGGAAUGAAUGGUUGGACGAAAUAUUAACUGUUUCAUUUAAAUUUAUAAUAAAAUUUUAUUUUUUAGUUAAAAAGCUAAAAUAAAUUUAAAAGACGAGAAGACCCUAUGAAUCUUUAUAUAUUAUUUAUUUUAAUUUUGUAGAUUAAUUUAAUUAUAAUAAUAUAAAUAUAUUUUAUUGGGGUGAUAUUAAAAUUUAAAUAACUUUUAAAAUUUAAAUCAUUGAUUUAUGAAUAAAUGAUCCAUUUUUAAUGAUUAAAAAUUUAAGUUACUCUAGGGAUAACAGCGUAAUUUUUUUGGAGAGUUCAUAUCGAUAAAAAAGAUUGCGACCUCGAUGUUGGAUUAAGAAAUAAUUUUAGGUGUAGCCGUUUAAAUUUAAAGUCUGUUCGACUUUUAAAAUCUUACAUGAUCUGAGUUCAAACCGGCGUAAGCCAGGUUGGUUUCUAUCUUUAAUAAAUUGAUAUAUUUUAGUACGAAAGGAUUGAAUAUAUAAAUAAUAAUAUUUUAUGAAUGAGAAUAUAAAUAAUUUUUUAUAA